UAACCAAUACCAACAUUGGUAACUAAAUCCAAAAUAUACUAACUAGGCUUAUAUGAUUAAAGAACUAAUCAUGGUAUUAAUUACCUCAUGAGUUGGCGGUCAUGGGCUCCGGUGGCCAUCAUUCCUCGGUUCUCAUAAGCGCGUCGGAGAAGAUACGGUAUAGCGGUUGCGACGGGUCCAAACGGCAUGUACUUGCUAACAUUGAAGCCGGCUCUCUUUAAACCGAAGGACAAUGCAUCUGACAUACCAUAUAGUUGUGCAAACUCUAUCUUCCCGUUCUGUUUAUCGAUCCCGAGGUCACUCGCUUUCCUUGACGCAAGUCUCCCUGAAAUUAAGACAUUACUACAAUUAGUAAUCCAUUUCAGUCUAACCGAAGCGAUAAAAACCCGUGUUUACAAUGGCGUACCAGAAUCAGCAUUAUGUGUUGCAAGAACGACGCCAAAACCUGAUCCGUUUGAGGCUUUCUCCAUCAGGAAGGUCAUACAGUUGUUGUAACAAGAGUGUGUGUCCUGAAUUGUGUCGUGGACCGGUGACUUGCAACCCAAGGAAUCAGCCAAUCUAGCUUCGCUAGACAUGUAAGCCCCUCUCACCAACUUAAAUCCCAUAGGAACAUUCUCUUUCUCGG
rnacentral:lncRNA from 1 species